UACGAGAGGCCCAAACGUUAUUCGGAAUUACUGGGCUUAAAGAGUUCGUAGGCGGCGCAGAAAGUAGGGUGUGAAAGCCCUCGGCUCAACCGAGGAAUUGCGCUCUAAACUACUGUGCUUGAGGAAGCUAGAGGUGAGCGGAACUGAUGGUGGAGCGGUGAAACUGCGUUGAUAUCAUCAGGAACACCGGGAGGCGAAGGCGGCAUCC
rnacentral:rRNA from 1 species